AACGAACGCUGGCGGCAGGCCUAACACAUGCAAGUCGAGCGCCCUGCAAGGGGAGCGGCGGACGGGUGAGUAACGCGUGGGAAUUUUUCCUGGAGUACGGAACAACCGAGGGAAACUUCGGCUAAUACCGUAUGAUGCCGAGAGGCCAAAGAUUUAUCGCUCUGGGGUGAGCCCGCGUCAGAUUAGGUAGUUGGUGGGGUAAAGGCCUACCAAGCCUGCGAUCUGUAGCUGGUCUGAGAGGACGAUCAGCCACACUGGGACUGAGACACGGCCCAGACUCCUACGGGAGGCAGCAGUGGGGAAUCUUGCGCAAUGGGCGAAAGCCUGACGCAGCGACGCCGCGUGAGGGAUGACGGCCU
rnacentral:rRNA from 1 species